rnacentral:rRNA from 1 species
AGUGAACGCUGGCGGUAGGCCUAACACAUGCAAGUCGAACGGCAGCACAGUAAGAGCUUGCUCUUACGGGUGGCGAGUGGCGGACGGGUGAGGAAUACAUCGGAAUCUACUUUUUCGUGGGGGAUAACGUAGGGAAACUUACGCUAAUACCGCAUACGACCUACGGGUGAAAGCAGGGGAUCUUCUGACCUUGCGCGAUUGAAUGAGCCGCUGUCGGAUUAGCUAGUUGGCGGGGUAAAGGCCCACCAAGGCGACGAUCCGUAGCUGGUCUGAGAGGAUGAUCAGCCACACUGGAACUGAGACACGGUCCAGACUCCUACGGGAGGCAGCAGUGGGGAAUAUUGGACAAUGGGCGCAAGCCUGAUCCAGCCAUACCGCGUGGGUGAAGAAGGCCUUCGGGUUGUAAAGCCCUUUUGUUGGGAAAGAAAAGCAGCAGGUUAAUACCCCGCUGUUCUGACGGUACCCAAAGAAUAAGCACCGGCUAACUUCGUG